rnacentral:tRNA from 1 species
GGCCUCGUAGCUCAGUUGGCAUGAGCGUUGACUGUAUUAAAGCCUUCCUCUUGCUGGCGUGGGUUCGAAUCCCCCCGAGGCCA